rnacentral:rRNA from 1 species
AUUGAACGCUGGCGGCAGGCUUAACACAUGCAAGUCGAGCGGGGAAGGUUGCUUCGGUAACUGACCUAGCGGCGGACGGGUGAGUAAUGCUUAGGAAUCUGCCUAUUAGUGGGGGACAACAUCUCGAAAGGGAUGCUAAUACCGCAUACGUCCUACGGGAGAAAGCAGGGGACCUUCGGGCCUUGCGCUAAUAGAUGAGCCUAAGUCGGAUUAGCUAGUUGGUGGGGUAAAGGCCUACCAAGGCGACGAUCUGUAGCGGGUCUGAGAGGAUGAUCCGCCACACUGGGACUGAGACACGGCCCAGACUCCUACGGGAGGCAGCAGUGGGGAAUAUUGGACAAUGGGGGGAACCCUGAUCCAGCCAUGCCGCGUGUGUGAAGAAGGCCUUUUGGUUGUAAAGCACUUUAAGCGAGGAGGAGGCUACUGGUAUUAAUACUACCGGAUAGUGGACGUUACUCGCAGAAUAAGCACCGGCUAACUCUGUGCCAGCCGCCGCGGUAAUAC